rnacentral:miRNA from 14 species
AGAAUAAGUCCACUGUUGCACC